rnacentral:ncRNA from 1 species
UGUUCGGGACGACCUGAAUAAACGUUAUAAAUAAUGGGGACGACCCCG